CAAUGAACCUUGUGGAUAUUGUUCUGCUGUCAGCUGGAGCGUAACAGAAGAAGGCAGAUUUUACUGCACAUCUUGCCACACUGUCAUAGAAAAGACUAGAGAAGUUCAAACUGGUGAUGUUAUUACUAAUGCAAGGGCACAGUCUAUCUCUAGAGGAUUAAGAAAAAGGAAGAAUAAAUUUGAUAAAGGCUGGGAAUGGUUUAUAUGUGAAGGUUUUCAGUAUAUUCUUCGAAAACAAGCUGAGGCUCUACAAUCUUUAGGAGUUUCUUCUCAGAUUAAGCACACAGACACUGAGACAGAAGUUGAAAGUACUAGCCCGAUUAAGUUGGUUUCUUCAAGAAGUGAUAUAGAUGUGAUAUCAGAAUUUAGCGCAGCUGCUUCUUCUUCUGUUAGUAAAGCUUCAGGUAAGAGCAAAUGUACCCCAUUUAGUUCCUUGUGUAGUUAUUUGAGGUACGAAAACAUAUUUCUAUUUGAUUGCUUUGGAGAUUUAAGCAAACAGUCUUCAUAUCUAUGUAGAAAAAUUAUAGACAACACGAUCUAAGAAUCCUAAGAAGAAUGGGGGAACAAACACAUUAUACAGAAACAAUUUUUUGAUUGCCAGGCUGGCAAUUCCUGUACGUUGCAGAAAGCUCCAGG